rnacentral:rRNA from 1 species
AUGUUGUGCUGCACAUGCUUACCCUUUGUUGUAACAUCAAUUUGCAGGUUUAUUGAGGGCGAUUACGAUACAUAUGUCUCUCAGAUUAGGAAGCCACAUGUGUGGGGAGGUGAGCCAGAAUUGCUCAUGGCUUCUCACAUUCUUCGGAUGCCCAUCACCUUUUACAUGCGUGAAGAAGCAGCGGGUGGUUUGAUAGCGAUCGCGGAGUAUGGCCAGGAGUACGGGAAAGAAGACCCAAUCCGAGUCUUCUAUCAUGGCUAUGGCCAUUAUGAAGGGCUGCAGAUACCAGGGAACGCUGAACCCAGAUGCAGGGUUUGA